UACAGAGGGUGCAAGCGUUAAUCGGAAUUACUGGGCGUAAAGCGCACGCAGGCGGUUGGAUAAGUCAGAUGUGAAAGCCCCGGGCUCAACCUGGGAAUUGCAUUUGAAACUGGGAAACUAGAGUGUGUGAGAGGGGGGUAGAAUUCCAAGUGUAGCGGUGAAAUGCGUAGAGAUUUGGAGGAAUACCAGUGGCGAAGGCGGCCCCCUGGCACAACACUGACGCUCAGGUGCGAAAGCGUGGGGAGCAAACAGG
rnacentral:rRNA from 1 species